CCUACGGGUGGCAGCAGUGAGGAAUAUUGGUCAAUGGGCGCGAGCCUGAACCAGCCAAGUCGCGUGAGGGAAGACGGCCCUACGGGUUGUAAACCUCUUUUGCCGGGGAGCAACGGGCGCCACGUGUGGCGCCACUGAGAGUACCCGGAGAAAAAGCAUCGGCUAACUCCGUGCCAGCAGCCGCGGUAAUACGUAGGGGGCAAGCGUUAUCCGGAUUUACUGGGUGUAAAGGGAGCGUAGACGGCACUGCAAGUCCGGAGUGAAAGCCCAAGGCUUAACCAUGGGACUGCUCUGGAAACUGUGGAGCUUGAGUGCGGGAGGGGCAGGCGGAAUUCCUAGUGUAGCGGUGAAAUGCGUAGAUAUUAGGAGGAACACCGGCGGCGAAGGCGGCCUGCUGGACCGUAACUGACGUUGAGGCUCGAAAGCGUGGGGAGCAAACAGGAUUAGAUACCCUUGUAGUC
rnacentral:rRNA from 1 species